UUGUCUUUUCCUCUACAUCGAUCUAGGAGAAGUAGUAUGUGAAUAUCUCGAUUUCUUUGCUCGGUUGUGCAAAACGGGAGUGUAGAGAAGUCGUCAAGCUUAUACUGGAGUAACUUAUCUUUUCCUCCACAGUUGGAAGGUUCGUCGGCGCGCCAAAAUCAUGAGGGCAUAUGCCGUGAUCGUGUGCCUACUCCUUAUUCUGUACCAAGUUAGUGCGGCUCCAAGGCCAUGUAGAAAUAGACGAGAUGUAAGUGACAAAAAGACUGACGAUAAAACAGAAAAUAAGGAGAAUGAUCACGAAAGUUCAGGGAAGAGUGAAGCAAAAGGAAGUCAAAAGGACAAAAAACAGUAUGUGCCAUAUUAUCCAGCCGCUCCCGCUGUUCCAGCAUAUAACAUGGGAGAUGUCAUUUGUGAGGACAGUAGACCUGUGCAAGUUGUCCAAAUAAGGGAUUUAAGUAUUGUGAAUGGAGUCAUCAAGUCGAGCAAUAUCUCAUAGAUCCUGGAUGGCAGACCACAAGUAGAAGAAAUUUGGAUAUUGGAUAGUUUUUGUACAAAACACAUUUUUGAACGUUUGCAGCACGUGUUUGUGGUUUGCGAUUCAGUUCUUUACGAAUUUUUAUUCGCGUCCUGACAUGGACUACAGAAAUGGAGAAAAUUUAUUUCUCAAACCACUUAAAAACUCGACAAUGAGAGGUUACACCGAAUGGAUGAGACUAGCAUGGACAUAUCGACAGUUUUAAUGUGGCUAUUCAAGGAGAUUUGAGGAUCCGCGAGAGACAGAGAAACUUUUAAAUCCGUCGAGUAUGAUCGACUUGCCCUAUUGUAAAGAAAAAGAAUAUCGAAAAGGGCUCUUUCCAAACGACUUUUUGUGAAGUUUAAGCUUUUGAAAGGGAGAGUUAUUCCACAAAUGAUGUCUUCAUUCAGUAAGGCGUUAUGUACAUAUCUUGUUGAGACAUUUGCAGCCGUCGAUGGUAGAAUUACACUAGAUAUACACGAAAUUCACGACUGCACGACAAGAUGGUAUUGCAGUAGCUUAGCUUGUUUGUAAAAAGGAAACAAAUCACAAAUUACAAACCAAAUUGUUAUA